GUCACUUGGAGAUCUUGUUAAAAUGCUGAUUCUGAUUCAGUAGAUCUGUAGUGGAGCUGGGAUUGAUUCUGCAUUUCUAACAAGUUUCUAGGUGGUGCCAU
rfam:Pongo abelii chromosome 5.